AUCGCGCCCUGGGCCAAAGGCAGGCGCCAAACCGCUGCGCCACCCAGGGAUCCCCUCGGGAAGCGGACGGCUGGAGUAUGAAGAGUGCUGCUGAUUCCUGCCUCGUACUUUGCCUUCCCUCCCCUCUGGGGUUUGGGGAGACUCCUGUGGCCCAGCGCUGUCCUCGCAGUCGGUGUAGCUGCUCUGCGGUCUUGGCCCCCGGCGGCGGUAUAUGUAUGCCGCGCUGUGGAAUGGAGCCCUGAGCGUGCACAUGUAGACGUGUGAACUCAAACCCAGAGCUGAAAAGAAAACAGAACAAAGCUGCUAGUCAUCUCUUGAAUUCAUGCCCAGCAAGAGCUAAAGAAAAUGGGUAUGAAACACUUUUCUGGGUGGUAGGAAGUAUACAUGUAAUUAUCUCUGGGGAAGGAAUACGUAUAUUUCAGUUUUCUUGGGUAAACACUUAGAAGUGGAUUUAUUGGGUGGUAUGGUAGGUGUGUGUUUAACUUGAUAAGAAAGCACUAAACAGUCUUCCAAAGAGAUUGUAACAUUUUAUACUUGAACUUUAUUCAGCUAAGGAUAAUUUUUUAAAUAUUACUUAUUUAUGGGACACCUGGGUGGCUCAGCGGUUGCGUUGUCUGUCUUUGGCUUGGGACCAGGUCCCACAUCGGCUUCCUACAUGGACCCUGCUCCUCCCUCUGCUUGU